CUGGGUUGGCCGAGUGGUUAAGGCGUUGGACUUAAGUUCCAAUGGACAAGUGUCCGCGUGGGGUUCGAACCCCCCACACCCAG
rnacentral:tRNA from 1 species